CCGCGGUAAUACGUAGGCAGCAAGCGUUGUUCGGAGUUACUGGGCGUAAAGGGUGCGUAGGCUGUUCCGCAAGUAUCGUGUGAAAUCUCCCGGCUUAACUGGGAGGGUGCGCGAUAAACUGCGGGACUAGAGUGUGGGAGAGGAAAGUGGAAUUCCUGGUGUAGCGGUGAAAUGCGUAGAUAUCAGGAGGAACACCGGUGGUGUAAACGGCUUUCUGGACCAUAACUGACGCUGAGGCACGAAAGCGUGGGUAGCAAACAGGAUUAGAUACCCUGGUAGUCCACGCCCUAAACGAUGCAUAUUUGGUGUGGGUCAUUCAGUUGAUCCGUGCCGGAGCUAACGCGUUAAAUAUGCCGCCUGGGGAGUACAGUCGCAAGGCUGAAACUCAAAGGAAUUGACGGGGGCCCGCACAAGCGGUGGAGCAUGUGGUUUAAUUCGACGCAACGCGAAGAACCUUACCUGGGCUCGAAAUGCUGUGGACCAGCCGGUGAAAGCCGGCCUUCCCGCAAGGGACUGCAGUAUAGGUGCUGCAUGGCUGUCGUCAGCUCGUGUCGUGAGAUGUUGGGUUAAGUCCCGCAACGAGCGCAACCCUUGUCCUGUGUUGCC
rnacentral:rRNA from 1 species